AUGCGAAAGGAAGAAAGUGAAAGAAAAAUAUCAAAAGAAAAACAGAAACUAUUAUGCCUUACCCUUCCCCAUCGCCAUCAUCACACUUUUCCAUUCCUUUUCAUCAUCAUCAAAUCAAAUCCAUUUCCCUUCUACAAUCGUUCCUUCCUCUUUCUCCGAAUUCUCCGAAAUGGAGAAUAAUAAUAAUAAUAAUCACCACCGUUCAAAAUCUUCCUCUAGUGACAAUUCAGUUUAUUUGGACGCACACGCUGCUUCCAUUCAUUCAACUACUUCUUCAGGACAUAUUGACAGGGAUUCAUCAAGUGCAUCACAGAAUGUGGAAGCAACUGAUGGAGCUGUAGGUGUUGUGGCUGAAGCUGAAACGUCAAAUCGGGGUCAAUGUAAGAAAGCUGCUAAAGCUGCUAAAAACCAUGGAUUACUGGCUAGGUUCUUUGAUGAGACUGUUCCCCACAAGAAAAGGCUGAGAUAUCUAAAAAAAGCUUCCAUGGUUAAUGAUGAUGGUACUGUAGAAAUUGAAGUUCCAGGACAUAUUAAACACCGGUCUCUAGGAAAUGGAACCGGUAUUAUUGAUCGUAGUGGUGAAUCUUGCAAAGAAACACUCAUUCAGGAUAUUGAACCUAUUCCACCGCGGCAAAUUGCAAUGCUUAUAGUUGGCACACGUGGAGAUGUCCAGCCAUUUAUUGCCAUUGGGAAGCGUCUGCAGGAAGAUGGACACAGGGUUAGGCUUGCUACUCAUAAAAACUUUGAAGAUUUUGUCUUGGAUGCAGGCUUGGAGUUUUACCCUUUAGGCGGAGAUCCGAAAGUUCUUGCUGGGUAUAUGGUCAAGAAUAAAGGCUUGUUGCCAUCAGGACCUUCAGAAAUACAUAUUCAAAGAAAUCAAAUCAGAGCUAUCAUUCACUCUUUGCUUCCUGCAUGCAAUAGCCGGUACCCAGACUCUAAUAAACCGUUUAGAGCUGAAGCAAUAAUUGCAAAUCCUCCAGCAUAUGGGCAUACUCAUGUUGCUGAAUAUCUAAAUGUUCCGCUGCACAUAUUCUUCACGAUGCCGUGGACGCCUACUAGUGAGUUCCAUCAUCCUCUUUCCCGUGUUAGGCAGCCAAUUGGAUACAAACUGUCAUAUCAAAUAGUUGAUGCUUUAAUCUGGCUUGGAAUACAUGAUUUGGUAAACGAGUUUAGGAAGAAGAAGCUGAAGCUAGGAGCUAUGACUCAUCAUCUACGUGGAUCUUACACUUCCCCUCCUGAAAUGCCCUAUGGUUAUAUUUGGAGCCCCAACUUGGUCCCUAAACCAAAAGAUUGGGGACCUAACAUUGACAUUGUUGGAUUUUGUUUCCUUGACCUUGCUUCAAAUUAUGAACCGCCAAAACCACUAGUUGAUUGGCUUGAAGAAGGAAAAAACCCUAUCUAUGUUGGAUUUGGUAGCCUUCCUCUACAGGAACCUGAAAAAAUGACAAGAAUUAUAGUUCAAGCUCUUCAACAAACAGGGCAGAGAGGUAUAAUCAACAAAGGGUGGGGUGGUCUUGGGAAUUUGGCAGAACUAAAGAAUUCUAAAUCUGUGUACUUAUUGAACAACUGUCCGCAUGAUUGGCUAUUUCCACGAUGCACGGCUGUGGUACAUCAUGGGGGCGCAGGAACAACUGCUGCUGGUCUUAGAGCUGAAGUAAUUAGUGCAAUUGCCCUACCACUAUUGUACCAUUCUUCGGGGACCAGCCAUUUUGGGGAGAGCGGGUGCAUGCCAGGGGAGUAGGUCCUGCACCCAUCCCGGUAGAGGAUUUUACGUUGGAAAGGCUGGUUGAUGCCAUACGCUUUAUGCUGAAUCCAGAGGUGAAAAGGCGUGCUGUUGAACUUGCUAAUGCCAUGAAAAACGAAGAUGGGGUGGUAGGAGCGGUUAACGCCUUCUAUAAACAUUAUCCGCGCCAAAGACCUGAUACUGAGACCGAACCCAAGCAAGUAGCCUUAGUAAAUAGACAUUUCUCUAUACGAGGAUGCUUUGGUUGCUAUAAUUCUUCUGGAUAAAUAGCUGCUUCUCCAUACAACACACUCCUCUCUAUGUAAUCAUAUUUAUUCUUCAGUUUAAUUCCUAAGAAAAAUGUUUGUUCUUCAGCCUAGUUCUGCUAUAUCAGAGACUGAAAUGUAAAUUGUCCUGGUGAUUUUGUUGAAAUAGUUCAGAACGAUCCUGUAUUAUCCAACUUACUGUCAAUAGUCAUAGUGUUUACUUCUUCUGGCUGACGAUUGUAGGAUAUAUACCCCUACAAGGCUACAACUGAUGAUAAGAAUCUUUUAUGGUAAGAAAGUUGCAUGCUUCAUGGGUUAA